CGCGUAGGUAUCUAUCUCCGGGUGGGGGAUAACUGUGGGAAACUACAGCCAAUACCGCAUGACACCUGAGGGUCAAAGGCGCGAGUCGCCUGGAGAGGAGCCUGCGUACGAUUAGCUAGUUGGUGGGGUAAAGGCCUACCAAGGCGACGAUCGUUAGCUGGUCUGAGAGGAUGAUCAGCCACAUUGGGACUGAGACACGGCCCAAACUCCUACGGGAGGCAGCAGUGGGGAAUAUUGGACAAUGGGCGAAAGCCUGAUCCAGCAAUGCCGCGUGUGUGAAGAAGGUCUUCGGAUUGUAAA
rnacentral:rRNA from 1 species